rnacentral:rRNA from 1 species
UACGUAGGGUCCGAGCGUUGUCCGGAAUUAUUGGGCGUAAAGAGCUCGUAGGCGGUCUGUCACGUCGGCUGUGAAAACCCGGGGCUCAACCCCGGGCCUGCAGUCGAUACGGGCAGACUAGAGUUCGGUAGGGGAGACUGGAAUUCCUGGUGUAGCGGUGAAAUGCGCAGAUAUCAGGAGGAACACCGGUGGCGAAGGCGGGUCUCUGGGCCGAUACUGACGCUGAGGAGCGAAAGCGUGGGGAGCGAACAGG